ACAUCAGUUUGUUUAUAUUGAACUGAUGAUCGUGUAUUAGUACUACUGAAGUCAAGCAAUGAGUUCAAUGGAUUCCAAAAAGGAAAAAAUUAUGGAUGGGUGAUGAAUCAACUUCCUGUACUGUUGUGCCAUUAGCAUUGGACGACCCCGACCACUGGCACCACUGCUUCCCUACCUCCUGCUUGCAUCGCCAUCUCCCGGUGGGGCUCUGCCGCCGGAGCACCCUGGCCGUUCACAGCCACCACUCUAGGCCGUUCAACGCCAUCACCCCAGGCCUUUCAUUGCCAGCAGCACCCUGGAUCCCACCCCUCACCCUAGGAGUUUCAGUUAUCGACAAGUCCAUGUAGUACUACAUGCGAAGUACAAAAAUUACUGCUAGUGAGAGUUCAUUUAAAUCCUGGAAGUUCAACGCUGCAACUACAGGCC